rnacentral:rRNA from 1 species
AGCGAACGCUGGCGGCAGGCUUAACACAUGCAAGUCGAGCGGGCAUCCUUGGGGUGUCAGCGGCAGACGGGUGAGUAACGCGUGGGAACGUGCCCUUCGGUUCGGAAUAACCCAGGGAAACUUGAGCUAAUACCGGAUACGUGCGAGAGCAGAAAGGUUUACCUGCCGAAGGAUCGGCCCGCGUCUGUUUAGCUAGUUGGUGAGGUUAUGGAUCACCAAGGCGACGAGCAGUAGUUGGUCUGAGAGGAUGAUCAGCCACACUGGGACUGGGACACGGCCCAGACUCCUACGGGAGGCAGCAGUGGGGAAUAUUGGACAAUGGGGGCGACCCUGAUCCAGCCAUGCCGCGUGAGUGAUGACGGGCUUAGGGUUGUAAAGCUCUUUUCUUCGGGACGAUAAUGACGGUACCGGAGGAAUAAACCCCGGCAAACUUCGU